rnacentral:rRNA from 1 species
AACGAACGCUGGCGGCAUGCCUAACACAUGCAAGUCGAACGAGACCUUCGGGUCUAGUGGCGCACGGGUGCGUAACGCGUGGGAAUCUGCCCUUGGGUUCGGAAUAACAGUGAGAAAUUACUGCUAAUACCGGAUGAUGUCUUCGGACCAAAGAUUUAUCGCCCAGGGAUGAGCCCGCGUAGGAUUAGCUAGUUGGUGGGGUAAUGGCCUACCAAGGCGACGAUCCUUAGCUGGUCUGAGAGGAUGAUCAGCCACACUGGGACUGAGACACGGCCCAGACUCCUACGGGAAGCAGCAGUGGGGAAUAUUGGACAAUGGGCGCAAGCCUGAUCCAGCAAUGCCGCGUGAGUGAUGAAGGCCUUAGGGUUGUAAAGCUCUUUUACCCGGGAUGAUAAUGACAGUACCGGGAGAAUAAGCUCCGGCUAACUCCGUG